rnacentral:rRNA from 1 species
CAGCAGUCGCCGCGGUAAUACAGAGGGUGCGAGCGUUAAUCGGAUUUACUGGGCGUAAAGCGUGCGUAGGCGGCUUUUUAAGUCGGAUGUGAAAUCCCUGAGCUUAACUUAGGAAUUGCAUUCGAUACUGGGAAGCUAGAGUAUGGGAGAGGAUGGUAGAAUUCCAGGUGUAGCGGUGAAAUGCGUAGAGAUCUGGAGGAAUACCGAUGGCGAAGGCAGCCAUCUGGCCUAAUACUGACGCUGAGGUACGAAAGCAUGGGGAGCAAACAGGAUUAGAUACCCCCGUAGUCCCUGUCUCUUAUAC